GAUGAAGAACGUAGCGAAAUGCGAUACGUAAUGUGAAUUGCAGAUCUCUCAGUGAACCAUCGAAUCUUUGAACGCACAUUGCGCCCGUCAGUAUUCUGGCGGGCAUGCCUGUUCGAGCGUCAUUACGCCCCUCAAGUCCCCUGUGGACUUGGUGUUGGGGAUCGGCGAGGCUGGUUUUCCAGCACAGCCGUCCCUUAAAUUAAUUGGCGGUCUCGCCGUGGCCCUCCUCUGCGCAGUAGUAAAACACUCGCAACAGGAGCCCGGCGCGGUCCACUGCCGUAAAACCCCCCAACUUUUUAUAGUUGACCUCGAAUCAGGUAGGACUACCCGCUGAACUUAAGCAUAUCAAUAAGCGGAGGA
rnacentral:misc_RNA from 1 species